rnacentral:lncRNA from 1 species
GUCAGAUCUCUUUAUGGAUGGUUGUGAGCCACUGUGUGGCUGUUGGGAUUUGAACUUAGGACUCUGAAGAGCAGUCAGUGCUCCCAACUGCUGAGCCAUUUCUCCAACCCAUACUAAUGCUUUCUUGUUAGUAUUUCCCACAGUUGAUUCACACAUUUAUUGAAAGAUAUCUUGGCUGGAUGAAGUUCUGGCAAUUGUGAAUAAAGUGUUGUACACAUUAGUGUGUAGGUUUUUGUGUGAAAAUAAGUUUUACACUCAUGUGAAUAGAUAGAAAAGAGAACAUUCAUGUGAAUAGAUACAAAAAAGCAGGAAUGCUGGACCUAUUAUAGGGAGCCAGAGAAGACCACUCAGACAUAGCUUAUAGCCUUUAAAAGUCUUUAUUCCACCUGCCUGGGACUACACUCAGGUUUUUGGGAGGUGGAGCCUAGUAAUAGUGUAGGCCAGGGUCUUUUAAAGGCAAAAAUCACAUCCUUCUGUCACACAUGCCAGCUUCAGAGGGAAGUUUGCACAAGCAGGCAGUUUAACAGAAACUAAGUUACUUGGGCAUUGGGAUUCUCUAUCAAGAUCAAAUUCUAGCUAAACCUGAAAUGGCUUUAGCAGGAAUACAAGAUGGAGGAAUCUUUACACUGUCUUACCUUGUCACAGAUCAUAUGAUAAGAGUACAUUCCCUUUUCCAGGAGACUGUCAAACUGUCUUUUAAAGUAGAUGUGCCAUUGCAUUCCCACCAGCAAGGAAUAUUACUCCAGAUAUUGCCAGCAUUUGUAGUUAUCACUGCUUUAGAAGUUUGCAGCGAUAAAACAUGGGGAAUGGUUUCUCCUUGUUAUUAAAUGUGCUGCUCUAAUGGCUGGGCUGGAGCCUCUUUCAUGCGCUCAUUUUUUUCUGUCCUUUGCCCAUUUUAAAAAAUCAGGUUGUUGGUUUUCUUUUCCUUGUUUGCUUCCUUGCUUCCUUGCUUCCUUGCUUCCUUCCUUCCUUCCUUCCUUUUUUCCUUAUUUCUUUUUUUUUUUUUCUCAAGACUGGGUUUCUACCCUGGGUUUCCUGGACCUCACUCUGUAGACUAGGCUAGCCUCAAACACAAAGAUAUCCACAUGCCUUUCUGCUUCUGAGUGCUGGGAUUAAAGGCCUGUGCCAUCAAUCACUGUCUGAUUUGGUUUUCUUAUUAUUUAGUUUUUAGAGGGUUUGUUGUUUAUUUUCUUGCUUUUUAAAAAUUUUUUGAUAUUCAUUUUGAGGUAUAUUCUCAGUUAACCAGACUGACCUCAAAUUCCUGAUCCUCCUACUUCUACCUUCUAAAUGAUUUAGAAAAAAAACCAAAGUUAUAGGAUUGAUGUUAUAAAGGGUUUGUUAAUCAAUUAGCACAGGAGACAUUAAGUUGCACAAGUAGAAUCUUGUUAAGGGAGCAUUGUCACCACCAAAAUACCCCACAGGUAACGUACUAUGCUAGCAGGUCUGUGACGUUUAGAAUGUAGGAUGUAAAUGUUUAUGUACUAAUAAUGGCCAGCCAUUAAGUCUCAUUCCCUUCCUCAACAAAAGUCACACCUCUACUGGACAUCUCAUGGGGCAACAUAUGGAUCAUCAUGAAGUUCUGGUCUGCCAUUAAGUUUCCUGUGCUUUUAUCACAAAAAAAAAAAAAAACCAUAAUUUUUCCAGUGGGGCAAGAUAACCCUGGGUAACAACUAUUCCAAAAAGAGCAACACUGAUGUCAUUAAAAAUAAUUCUGUCAAUAUGAAAUGCCUUUGCUGUGUAAAUCUGUCUGCCUAAGUGGUGAGACUCAGUCUUCUGUCUUUGUUUAAAUUGUUUGAAAUGUAACCUGGGGCAGGGACCUCAAAGAGAUUUAAGGAUGGCAGUGGUUUUGUAAUGCAUAAGCCUAAGAUGUAUAUAAAUUAGUAAACUCUUAUGUUGGGAGCUAGCUCUUUUUUGGACCAUUAGCCACAGCUAGCCAGGCGCUUUAGUAAAUUACUUUCCGUCAUCUCUAAGUAUGUGAAGUAAUUUUUCUUGAGAAGGCAAUUAUUUCUGUAAUAUGAGUGCUGGGAUUACAGGCGUUCAUGACCAUGCCAAGCUAUUACAUACUUUUUUAAAUAGAUAAACCCAGAUUCAAAUUAUUGAUUUAUAAAAAGGUCACACUACUUCAUAGUUGUAGGAAAUGUCAGUCAAAAUCUGAUACAUUUGACUCACCUGUGUUUUUUGAAACC